rnacentral:lncRNA from 8 species
GCAGUCACGUUUUAUGCCUAGUUUAAUGUUUUUAUGAGUUUUAGAGAGAGAGGUGUGUGUGAGUGUGUGAGGGUUUAUGCAGCAGGUGUAUACACAUGUGGGCAGUGUUUCUUAUCAGUAUUAUUAGCUUGAUGUAUCAGUAUCUGGGAUGUUUGUGGACAGAUAUCUGCUUUAAAGGUCUAUGUCUCUCUAUCUCUCUGAUUCUACAAUCCAUGCUAUGUGUCCAAAGUUAAAACAGAGUUCCCUUGCUUUCACAGUGGUGUCUCAGCUGGGUAGCUGUGUCAGCGCCCAGACCGUUGGCUGUAACACUGUACAUGCCAACGGUACAACGACCUAUCAACUCUCAGAGCCCCUGCCAGGAUCACCCUCAACCUGUGUAACACAGUGGUUGGAUGUAAAUGGGACUGUUCUCACUAACAACAAAGAGAUUGACAAAGAUCAUGUUGUGGUUCAGACCAGUCAAUCUAUUACCACCAUAGGCUGCAUGGACAGACUGAAGUACUUAGAGGAAUGUACACAUAAUAAAAUGGUGCGUAGAAUAUAUUUACCCUCCACUACAACCCUGCAGUUACUGUAUGGUUACUGUUUGUGUUGGGACAACAUGAAAAUAAAGAUCAUGAUUAUGGAUUUCAUUUGCAUACACAUGAUGUAGCUGUCACUGGGUCUUAAAGUGCUUUAUAAAGGCAAGCUCACAUCAUGCAACACUUGUGUGUAGCACUCACUAUUUGGGAUAUGCACAGUAGCCAUUUUGUGCCAAUAAUCACCACAUAUUAACACGGGCUAUCAAUGUCAUGAGCACAUAGAAAAUACAGUAGCAGCUGGAUUCAUGACCAUUUUAGACCAGAGAGUGCAGACAUGCCUGGGCAUGUUCAGGACGUCUAGUGACUAUUUCCUCUCUCUGCCUUCUGUUAACCUGUUUUUUUCUCCAUCUCUUAUAGCUGUCAUUUCGUAAAGCAGAGUGCGAGUCCAUAUUACAGUGUUAUUGUCAAAUCACCAGUAGCAAAGUAGAGACUUAGUCUUUCUAAGAACAAUGCAGUGAAACUAUGCUGAGAUGUUCUCACCAGUAAUGAGAAUCCA